rnacentral:lncRNA from 1 species
UAUUUAUUUAAUCCUCUUUUUUUCCAAUAAUUUUUUAACCAUAUUUUGACGGUAGACUUGAUUUGAUUUAAUCGAAAAUGUAGAUUUAGUUUUUUGAGAUUGGUUUCGCCAUUAGAAUUAAAAAGGAAUUUCGAAUAUGGUAAACAUUUUUAUUAACCAAUCAAUUUCUAAUGGGAUCCGGAUCCCCAAAACCUUUUUGUCUUGAGCCCAUGGAUUUGAUGACGAAAGUCGUCCAUAUUCUUGUUCGUUUAUCGAUUUCAUCCGGUCUAGUUUGUCUUUUUCUCGACAGAUGGAGCCAACGAAGUUACAAUUGGUUGAGAUCAAAUUUUUCGGAUGUAAUCUGAUCACGGAUAUGAUGGUGGUUACAGGGCCGUUCGGAAAUUCGUCCGCUUACGUUUUUAACCACAGUUUGUCGAUUACUCGGGUUGAUAGAGCGGUCGAAGAUGAUCUCUGGAUUAAUACCAUCGAUUUUUCUCCAAGUGCAGUUGGAGUUGGCCAAACGUCAACUGGGAAACAUCGAUAAGAAAGGAUGGCGGGAAUUAAUGAAUUUGUUAUUGUCCCUCUCCCGCCGUAAUUGCUGGAUGAUGGCGCCUGGAGGUUAAGAGGUGGUACGGUUUAAGAAUUCUUGGUUCCAGUCUGUCAUCGGGUCGGACGCCCCUUCCCUAAUCCCUCUAAGUGAGGGUUCGGCCUCUUUAUCGAUAACCAUGCGGACCAAUCCGUCCUUGGACACACCCUACGCUGUCAAUUGGGUUCACAUCUGGCCCGUCUCCAGCCCUUUUUCUAUUCGUACAUACAAUCGAUAGGCAUAGUGCGCAUGUGGCCCAGAUUCCCCCUUCUGCGGGGUGCUGCGGUGGUCCCCGUCGCGUCGCAAUGUCCUACACUCGGCUACGUGCCCGUGCGUUGAGACGCGCAGUCCGAUCGGGAUUUUUUUCCCCCCCUCUUUUCUUUCGCCUCUAACCGAUCCGAAAUGACCAUCGACGCGAGUGGACCGAAAUGAAUGAGUUCGGAGUUGAAGUUGGAUGAAUGAAAAAGAGCUCCAAUCAUACAUACAAAUUCCCGAAAUUUAUAAAUAGAAACGCGACGGAGGAUGUCUGGUGCACCAGAUCUUAUCGUGCCAAAUUUCUUCGCCUUUACCAUCGAUCGAUGGCACUCGACUACACUUCUCGCUAAUAUAAUACUUAGAAUAUAAAAGGAUUUUUCUUUCCUUCACAAAUUUCCCCAACUGUCAAAUUUCGGGUGGUUGAUAAUUUUCGAGAAAUUAUCACUCUUCUGUUCGUUUAAAAUUAUCCCAAUAGUAUCUGCUCUGCUCACUCGUCAGAAAUCAACUAGAAAAUGUAUCAACUGGGAUAAUGGAUGAAAGUAGAACGAUCUGAUCCGUUGUAAAAUGCUGCAAAUCGCAGCUCCAGGAUUUCUGAAACAAAUUCGAAUAUUAUUUUUGGCAAUAAAUACUCCCGGGAUGCAAUCUAAAUAUUUAGAGGAUGGGAAGGAAAGAAAUUAUCUUUGUGUUUGAACCAACUCGAUCUUUGUUAUUAGUGCGAGAGAGAACGAAUCUAUGGCUAUCUUCCUAGGGGAUGGAGAAACCUAUGCCAUACAGGUUAUCAAAUAAAGUCGACCUUCGACCUUGGAAAGGUGUUUUCCGGCGCAGCCACUGCACCAUCCGAAGCGCUGCGGAAAGAUCGAUUUUCAUUACUUCCGCCACGUGAUUCGUUUUCGACAAACUACGUAGUAACCGGAAGUGCGAUGUACGAGAACUUCCGCACGUGACCGACCAUUAUACAUCUCUUUUUUUUUUGGACAGUUUCCCCGCCCAAAGAUGGGCGUUUCCAUCUCCUUGGAAAGAAAACUAGCAUUAUUUAUUGUUAAGUAUAGUUUUGAUAUGUAGGUUAAAUGAUAGUUUUAAGAGAGAUUCGAGAGUGGGCCGAUUGUUUCGUCUCUCGACGCCAGCCACGUCGCACGCCUCCUGGGCUCGUGUGCAGUUGUCGGAUCUCCCGCCUGAAAGGGUAGAGGCGACUACCCACAGUUCCCGGCGGCGGAACAUCUUCCGGCAAUGCAGCAGUGCUGAUCGAUAGAGGGACGGAGAGUGGCGGCGGGUGGCCAACCAGGCCGUCCCCCGGCCCGUCCGGUUCCGGAAGUGGUGGACUGCCAACGUAAGGUAGGUGCGCUUACGUCAGUCAGUACCCGGAUCUGGAUAGCCAGUGGCAUCCGGCCGACCAUACCCGUACUCGGAUGGCGCGCGCGCAGCUACGUCACCGUCAUCCGGGCCACUUUGACCGAUCGGUGGCCAAGCCCCCGUCCCCCCGUGGCCGACAGCCGGCAGAGGCAGAGCUGGCGAGUGCGGAACGUGAUGCUUGCAUUGAGUGCUGCGGGCCCGGCGCCCCGGUGAUAAGGAGCGUGGGCUGUGCAUGCGUGAUGCAAGAUGGAGGCCGAGGCGGCGUGCGAAGGGCUGGCGCUGCCCUUCUCUACCAUCGACAGCAUCCUUAACGACAAGACACUUGUAUCUCCCUGCAGGUCGUUGCACAAGCUGACAGGUGACGAGGCGGGGUUUCAGGAAGGAGGCUUCGG